rnacentral:rRNA from 1 species
GAUGAACGCUGGCGGCGUGCCUAAUACAUGCAAGUCGAGCGAACAGACGAGGAGCUUGCUCCUCUGACGUUAGCGGCGGACGGGUGAGUAACACGUGGAUAACCUACCUAUAAGACUGGGAUAACUUCGGGAAACCGGAGCUAAUACCGGAUAAUAUAUUGAACCGCAUGGUUCAAUAGUGAAAGACGGUUUUGCUGUCACUUAUAGAUGGAUCCGCGCCGCAUUAGCUAGUUGGUAAGGUAACGGCUUACCAAGGCAACGAUGCGUAGCCGACCUGAGAGGGUGAUCGGCCACACUGGAACUGAGACACGGUCCAGACUCCGACGGGAGGCAGCAGUAGGGAAUCUUGCGCAAUGGGCGAGAGCCUGACGGAGCAACGCCGCGUGAGUGAUGAAGGUUUUCGGAUCGUAAAACUCUGUUAUUAGGGAAGAACAAAUGUGUAAGUAACUAUGCACGUCUUGACGGUACCUAAUCAGAAAGCCACGGCUAACUACGUG